GAUGAACGCUGGCGGCGUGCCUAAUACAUGCAAGUCGAGCGAACAGAUGAGGAGCUUUCUCCUCUGACGUUAGCGGCGGACGGGUGAGUAACACGUGGAUAACCUACCUCUAAGACUGGGAUAACUUCGGGAAACCGGAGCUAAUACCGGAUAAUAUAUUGAACCGCAUGGUUCAAUAGUGAAAGACGGUUUUCGUGUCACUUAUAGAUGGAUCCGCGCCGCAUUAGCUAGUUGGUAAGGUAACGGCUUACCAAGGCGACGAUGCGUAGCUGAGCUGAGAGGAUGAUCGGCCACACUGGAACUGAGACACGGUCCAGACUCCUACGGGAGGCAGCAGUGGGGAAUCUUGGACAAUGGGCGCAAGCCUGACGCAGCAACGCCGCGUGAGUGAAGAAGGUCUUCGGGUUGUAAAGCUCUUUUAUUAGGAAAGAACAAAUGUGGAAUAAACUAUGCCCGUCUUGACGGUACCUAAACAGAACGCCACGGCUAACUACGUG
rnacentral:rRNA from 1 species